GAUGAACGCUGGCGGCGUGCCUAAUACAUGCAAGUCGAGCGAACAGACGAGGAGCUUGCUCCUUUGACGUUAGCGGCGGACGGGUGAGUAACACGUAGGUAACCUACCUAUAAGACGGGGAUAACUUCGGGAAACCGGAGCUAAUACCGGAUAAUAUGUCGAACCGCAGGGUUCGAUAGUGAAAGAGGGCUUGGCUAUCACUUAUAGAUGGACCUGCGCCGUAUUAGCUAGUUGGUAAGGUAACGGCUUACCAAGGCAACGAUACGUAGCCGACCUGAGAGGGUGAUCGGCCACACUGGAACUGAGACACGGUCCAGACUCCUACGGGAGGCAGCAGUAGGGAAUCUUCGGCAAUGGGCGCAAGCCUGACGGAGCCACGCCGCGUGAGUGAUGAAGGUCUUCGGAUCGUAAAACUCUGUUAUUAGGGAAGAACAAACGUGUAAGUAACUGUGCACGUCUUGACGGUACCUAAUCAGAAAGCCCCGGCUAACUUCGUG
rnacentral:rRNA from 1 species